GAUGAACGCUGACAGAAUGCUUAACACAUGCAAGUCUUUGGCGAAGCUGUGCUUGCACAGCCUAGCCAAGGCGGACGGGUGAGUAACGCGUAAGGAACUUGCCCUGCAGUCAGGGAUAACAGACGGAAACGACUGAUAAGACCUGGUAAAGUCAGGCGGACUCAUGUCCAGCCUGAUGAAAAGAGAUGCUGCAGGAGAGCCUUGCGUCCUAUUAGCUUGUUGGUGGGGUAACGGCCCACCAAGGCGAUGAUAGGUAGCCGGCCUGAGAGGGUGGACGGCCACAAGGGGACUGAGUUACGGCCCUUACUCCUACGGGAGGCAGCAGUGGGGAAUAUUGGACAAUGGGGGCAACCCUGAUCCAGCAAUUCUGUGUGCACGAUGAAGGUUUUCGGAUUGUAAAGUGCUUUCAGCAGGGAAGAAAAAAAUGACGGUACCUGCAGAAGAAGCGACGGCUAAAUACGUG
rnacentral:rRNA from 1 species